GACGAACGCUGGCGGCGUGCUUAACACAUGCAAGUCGAACGAAGAGCGAUGGAAGCUUGCUUCUAUCAAUCUUAGUGGCGAACGGGUGAGUAACGCGUAAUCAACCUGCCCUUCAGAGGGGGACAACAGUUGGAAACGACUGCUAAUACCGCAUACGAUCUAAUCUCGGCAUCGAGGAUAGAUGAAAGGUGGCCCCUACAUGUAAGCUAUCACUGAAGGAGGGGAUUGCGUCUGAUUAGCUAGUUGGAGGGGUAACGGCCCACCAAGGCGAUGAUCAGUAGCCGGUCUGAGAGGAUGAACGGCCACAUUGGGACUGAGACACGGCCCAGACUCCUACGGGAGGCAGCAGUGGGGAAUCUUCCGCAAUGGACGAAAGUCUGACGGAGCAACGCCGCGUGAGUGAUGACGGCCUUCGGGCUGUAAAGCUCUGUUAAUCGGGACGAAAGGCCUUCUUGCGAAUAGUGAGAAGGAUUGACGGUACCGGAAGAGAAAGCCACGGCUAACUACGUG
rnacentral:rRNA from 1 species